rnacentral:misc_RNA from 1 species
CAAGGACUCAUUACUUUGGCCGGACAAUCCUCCAUGGGGGUGCAAAGUAUAGAGCCACCGGUAGGGGGUUUGUUGUUCGUCAUAUUAAGUUCUCAGAGAACUACAGGCUUUACUCCCGAAGCCAUUUUGUGAAGGGAUUGGAAGUUGUCCUUCUAUUGGUGGUCUACCUCGCAUAUAAGUUUACUCAAGGAACGGUCGCUUACAUUCUAUUGUCUGUUAGUAGUUGGUUCAUGGCAUUGUCCUGGCUUUUUGCCCCGUAUGUAUUCAAUCCAUCUGGUUUUGAAUGGCAAAAGACUGUGGAGGACUUCAGAGAAUGGACAAAUUGGCUUCUGUAUAGAGGUGGAAUUGGAGUUAAAG